CUCCCUUUCAGUAUCGGAUCACAACCACCUCCUCCUCCUCCACCUUUUCUGUGUAUCUAUAAGAUUGUUUGCGUCACAGUUGCUUCUGUUGGGGCACUGGCGUCUAUUAUUGCUCCACAACGUUCUUUUGAAGUCCAAUUCUAAGCGGGAAAUGGCUUCAUUAUGGCAGGCAGUUUAUUUCUUUUGCCCUAGGACGUCUGCAAUCCAACAGUUUGGGGAUGAGAUUUCAAUGGAAAUGCUACAGUACAUGAACGCAGACUGAUUUCAAGACGAGUUUGAUGAGCCUUUUCUCAUCCGAUUCAACUAGCAUUCUGAGAAAUUGUCUGAUGUGCAGGUUGCAGAUCUUUGUAAAUUGGAGUUCUUCCUGUGAUGCUGCCCUUAAUGCCCUGACACAAUUCCAAGGUUACCUUGCUAGCUUGCUUGAGAAUGUUAAGUGAGAAAUUCGUUGGAGCAUAGAAUUAUUCGUUAUGGACAUUCCACGUUGAACAAAUCCUUCGCGAGAAGGAUUUGAGGUAUGUUUGUAACCUCACAGCAGCAUCACCUUCAUCACAUGGAGGCAGCAGCGAUUCAUCAGGGACUGGGGGAGCUUCAGGCGAAACUGAAGGGACUGCAAGCAGCGGAAUGAUUUGGAAACGGAGACCAACUCAAGCUCUACCUUUGCUGGCGCAACGCCUUCGACCCCUACGCCCACUUUUGCCGCUGCUGUUGCAACGACGGUCGUGCCACCUACUCUCAUCACAUCGAAGAUUCAAAAACACAAGGAAAGGGUAAUUGUAAUCAUUACCAAAACUGUAACUGCUUCUAUUUUCCCCGUAGUUAGCAGAUUGCAUAGCGAUCCAUUUAUGCUUUGGGCAACAUUGAAGAAGAAAUAUGAAUCGUCUGCUCUGCAACGAAAGUUAGAUCUCAAAACGGCUCUGGUAGAGCUUAGAUUCACAGAAGGAGAUUCAAUGGAAGAUUACCUUAAGAAGAUUGAAUAUCAUGUGAUGGAGCUAGGUCUUAUAGGCGAGGAGUUUCCAAAAAAGGAGCUCAUCUAGAUUGUUCUGAGAAAUUCGCCAGAGAGCUAGUCGUUUUUUAAGUUAACAUACGAUGUGAUGUAUGCAAAAGACACCCAAGUCACAUUCGCCGAUUUGGAGGAAUACCUGCAAGUAGAAGAUUUUCGAUGGAAGCCACGAUUUGACGAAACGGAGCACUUUCUCAUGGCAAACAAUGAGUAACAUGGCCCUGUGGUAGAGGCUUCUAUUGACGAGAUCCAAGGCGAGGCAAUAAUGAAGUCUACCGACGCGACCAAUGUCUUUGUUGCAAGCAGCACAAAAACGCCUGUGACAAGUGUUACAAGUUUUGGAUGUAUUCCGAUCUCUGGAAAUAAAUCUAUAUCCAACGUUUCCUA